AAUGCUGUUUUUGAAUAGUUGGAUGGUGAGUAGCACCGAGUAAGGUAUGACACUAGCCCUCCAGCUAUUCAAAAACAGCAUUAACACUCAAGAG